GAUGAAGAACGCAGCGAAAUGCGAUAAGUAAUGUGAACUGCAGAAUUCAGUGAAUCAUCGAAUCUUUGAACGCACAUUGCGCCCCCUGGUAUUCCGGGGGGCAUGCCUGUUCGAGCGUCAUUUCACCACUCAAGCCUCGCUUGGUAUUGGGCGACGCGGUCCGCCGCGCGCCUCAAAUCGACCGGCUGGGUCUUUCGUCCCCUCAGCGUUGUGGAAACUAUUCGCUAAAGGGUGCCGCGGGAGGCCACGCCGUAAAACAACCCCAUUUCUAAGGUUGACCUCGGAUCAGGUAGGGAUACCCGCUGAACUUAAGCAUAUCAAUAAGCGGAGGA
rnacentral:misc_RNA from 1 species